rnacentral:rRNA from 1 species
UAGUAUCGGAACGUGCCCAGUCGUGGGGGAUAACUGCUCGAAAGAGCAGCUAAUACCGCAUACGACCUGAGGGUGAAAGCGGGGGAGUCGCAAGACCUCGCGCGAUUGGAACGGCCGAUAUCAGAUUAGGUAGUUGGUGAGGUAAAGGCUCACCAAGCCGACGAUCUGUAGCUGGUCUGAGAGGACGACCAGCCACACUGGGACUGAGACACGGCCCAG